GAGGCGAACCGGGGGAACUGAAACAUCUAAGUACCCCGAGGAAAAGAAAUCAACCGAGAUUCCGAAAGUAGCGGCGAGCGAAAUUGGACUAGCCCUUAAGCUUUACACGCGUUAGACGAACGGUCUGGAAAGUCCGACGAUACAGGGUGAUAGUCCCGUAGUUGACGACGUGUGUUCAGUGAAAUCGAGUAGGGCGGGACACGUGAUAUCCUGUCUGAAUAUGGGGGGACCAUCCUCCAAGGCUAAAUACUACUGACUGACCGAUAGUGAACCAGUACCGUGAGGGAAAGGCGAAAAGAACCCCUGUGAGGGGAGUGAAAUAGAACCUGAAACCGUGUACGUACAAGCAGUAGGAGCAGGCUUUGUCCUGUGACUGCGUACCUUUUGUAUAAUGGGUCAGCGACUUAUAUUCAGUGGCAAGGUUAACCAUCUAGGGGAGCCGUAGGGAAACCGAGUCUUAACUGGGCGUUCAGUCUCUGGAUAUAGACCCGAAACCAGGUGAUCUAGCCAUGGGCAGGUUGAAGGUUGAGUAACAUCAACUGGAGGACCGAACCGACUAAUGUUGAAAAAUUAGCGGAUGACUUGUGGCUAGGGGUGAAAGGCCAAUCAAACCUGGAGAUAGCUGGUUCUCCCCGAAAGCUAUUUAGGUAGCGCCUCGGACGAAUACUACUGGGGGUAGAGCACUGUUAAGGCUAGGGGGUCAUCCCGACUUACCAACCCUUUGCAAACUCCGAAUACCAGUAAGUACUAUCCGGGAGACACACGGCGGGUGCUAACGUCCGUCGUGGAGAGGGAAACAACCCAGACCGCCAGCUAAGGUCCCAAAUUACUACUAAGUGGGAAACGAUGUGGGAAGGCUCAGACAGCCAGGAUGUUGGCUUAGAAGCAGCCAUCAUUUAAAGAAAGCGUAAUAGCUCACUGGUCGAGUCGGCCUGCGCGGAAGAUGUAACGGGGCUAAGUAGUAAACCGAAGCUGCGGCAAUACUCUUUGAGUAUUGGGUAGGGGAGCGUUCUGUAAGCGGUUGAAGGUGUGUGGUAACGCAUGCUGGACGUAUCAGAAGUGCGAAUGCUGACAUGAGUAACGAUAAAGGGGGUGAAAAACCUCCUCGCCGGAAGACCAAGGGUUCCUGUCCAACGUUAAUCGGGGCAGGGUAAGUCGACCCCUAAGGCGAGGCCGAAAGGCGUAGUCGAUGGGAAACGGGUUAAUAUUCCCGUACUUCUUACAAUUGCGAUGGGGGGACGGAGAAGGCUAGGUGGGCCUGGCGACGGUUGUCCAGGUUCAAGUGCGUAGGCUUAAGAGUUAGGUAAAUCCGGCUCUUUCUAAGGCUGAGACACGACGUCGAGCACCUACGGGUGUGAAGUCAUUGAUGCCAUGCUUCCAGGAAAAGCCUCUAAGCUUCAGAUUGUAAGGAAUCGUACCCCAAACCGACACAGGUGGUCGGGUAGAGAAUACCAAGGCGCUUGAGAGAACUCGGGUGAAGGAACUAGGCAAAAUGGUACCGUAACUUCGGGAGAAGGUACGCUCUCGACGGUGAAGUCCCUCGCGGAUGGAGCUGACGAGAGUCGCAGAUACCAGGUGGCUGCAACUGUUUAUUAAAAACACAGCACUGUGCAAAAUCGUAAGAUGACGUAUACGGUGUGACGCCUGCCCGGUGCCGGAAGGUUAAUUGAUGGGGUUAGACUUCGGUCGAAGCNACUGUUUAUUAAAAACACAGCACUGUGCAAAAUCGUAAGAUGACGUAUACGGUGUGACGCCUGCCCGGUGCCGGAAGGUUAAUUGAUGGGGUUAGACUUCGGUCGAAGCUCUUGAUCGAAGCCCCGGUAAACGGCGGCCGUAACUAUAACGGUCCUAAGGUAGCGAAAUUCCUUGUCGGGUAAGUUCCGACCUGCACGAAUGGCGUAAUGAUGGCCACGCUGUCUCCACCCGAGACUCAGUGAAAUUGAAAUCGCUGUGAAGAUGCAGUGUACCCGCGGCUAGACGGAAAGACCCCGUGAACCUUUACUACAGCUUGGCACUGAACAUUGACCCUACAUGUGUAGGAUAGGUGGGAGGCUUUGAAGCACGUACGCCAGUAUGUGUGGAGCCGUCCUUGAAAUACCACCCUUGUAGUGUUGAUGUUCUAACGUCGACCCCUAAUCGGGGUUGCGGACAGUGCCUGGUGGGUAGUUUGACUGGGGCGGUCUCCUCCCAAAGAGUAACGGAGGAGCACGAAGGUGGGCUAAUCACGGUUGGACAUCGUGAGGUUAGUGCAAUGGCAUAAGCCCGCUUGACUGCGAGAAUGACAAUUCGAGCAGGUGCGAAAGCAGGUCAUAGUGAUCCGGUGGUUCUGAAUGGAAGGGCCAUCGCUCAACGGAUAAAAGGUACUCCGGGGAUAACAGGCUGAUACCGCCCAAGAGUUCAUAUCGACGGCGGUGUUUGGCACCUCGAUGUCGGCUCAUCACAUCCUGGGGCUGAAGUCGGUCCCAAGGGUAUGGCUGUUCGCCAUUUAAAGUGGUACGCGAGCUGGGUUUAGAACGUCGUGAGACAGUUCGGUCCCUAUCUGCCGUGGGCGUUGGAAGAUUGAAGGGGGCUGCUCCUAGUACGAGAGGACCGGAGUGGACGAACCUCUGGUGUUCGGGUUGUGUCGCCAGACGCAUUGCCCGGUAGCUAAGUUCGGAAUCGAUAACCGCUGAAAGCAUCUAAGCGGGAAGCGAGCCCUGAGAUGAGUCUUCCCUGAUACUUUAAGUAUCCUAAAGGGUUGUCGGAGACUACGACGUUGAUAGGUCAGGUGUGUAAGUGCUGUGAGGCAUUGAGCUAACUGAUACUAAUUGCCCGUGAGGCUUAACCAU
rnacentral:rRNA from 1 species